rnacentral:rRNA from 1 species
GAUGAACGCUGGCGGCGUGCCUAAUACAUGCAGGUCGAGCGAAUGGAUUAAGAGCUUGCUCUUAUGAAGUUAGCGGCGGACGGGUGAGUAACACGUGGGUAACCUGCCCAUAAGACUGGGAUAACUCCGGGAAACCGGGGCUAAUACCGGAUAACAUUUUGAACCGCAUGGUUCGAAAUUGAUAGGCGGCUUCGGCUGUCACUUAUGGAUGGACCCGCGUCGCAUUAGCUAGUUGGUGAGGUAACGGCUGACCAAGGCAACGAUGCGUAGCCGCCCUGAGAGGGUGAUCGGCCACCCUGGGACUGAGACACGGCCCAGACUCCUGCGGGAGGCAGCAGUAGGGAAUCUUCCGCAAUGGACGAAAGUCUGACGGAGCAACGCCGCGUGAGUGAUGAAGGCUUUCGGGUCGUAAAACUCUGUUGUUAGGGAAGAACAAGUGCUAGUUGAAUAAGCUGGCACCUUGACGGUACCUAACCAGAAAGCCACGGCUAACUACGUGCCAGCCGCCGCGGUAA